UACAUUAGUGUGGUCUUCAUCACAUGCAC
rnacentral:sRNA from 1 species